AAGUCGUAACAAGGUUUCCGUAGGUGAACCUGGGGAAGGAUCAUUAACACGUAUCCAACGUUAAACCACCCGUGCACCUUCAUCUUGCCAGCACCGAAACGAGUCUCACCGCUCGGGGGUUCUCCGGGGCUUCCAGAGCUGGUAACCCGAACAACUGUUAACAAUGGAUAUCUUGGCUCUC
rnacentral:misc_RNA from 1 species